rnacentral:lncRNA from 1 species
UAAAAACAAAACAAGGGAAAUAACUUUUGACUAAAAUAAAUAACAUUGUUUUACAAAUAGUAUCUACCAAGAGGCUCUGUUCAUUCUAUCAUAUAAAAAAGAAGAUGUAGUAUGAUUGCCACUGAGAUAACUCUCCACAAGAGACCAAAUGACACAGAAAUUAAUAACUGUAGGUCACUGUAUGGCCUUCAACAAUAAGCAAAGCCCAUACAGCAUAGUCAGCUAUAAAAGGCUAAAAUGACAAAUGUUUAACAAUUCAAGUGAGAGAACUAAAAGCCUAAUUUGAAGAAAUUAUCAUACUAUUUGAGACUGUUUAAUUAGUUUUUGUUGGGCACUAAUUUUCAUUGAUUUUGUAAGAUAGGUGAACCAUGAAUUUUCAACAAAAUUUUUUUUUUUUCUUGUAUACAGAAUUUGUCAAAUCGACGAAAUCAAGUAUCUAUGAAAAGAGAUUUUUUCCUCAACUUAUAAAAAUGGAUGAAUACACAGAUCCUGUUAUGAACCGGAGACAACAACCCAACCAAAGAGCAAAAUACAGCCCACGGCACUAAUGGGCAAGAAAAUUCUGCACAUGCGGACAGGCUUCAUUUGACCCCUUAACAAUAAUGAAUAUAGUUUAUGUUAAUUCUUGUACUGAAAUUUCUUUAUAUAACCUAAACAUAUACCUAUCUGAUAACAAAAUUAAGUCUCAUGAAGCCAUUCAAUGGAACAAUGCGCUUUAAUAUCAUGAUUGUAACAAUAUUUAUG